rnacentral:tRNA from 1 species
GGCGCGGUUACUCUGUUGGUAGGGGUGACUUCACUUUCAAUGAAGGUAAGACGCGGGUUCAAUUCCCGUCCGCGCUAC